rnacentral:rRNA from 1 species
GACGAACGCUGGCGGCGUGCUUAACACAUGCAAGUCGAACGGAAAGGCCCUGCUUUUGUGGGGUGCUCGAGUGGCGAACGGGUGAGUAACGCGUGAGUAACCUGCCCUUGACUUUGGGAUAACUUCAGGAAACUGGGGCUAAUACCGGAUAGGAGCUCCUGCUGCAUGGUGGGGGUUGGAAAGUUUCGGCGGUUGGGGAUGGACUCGCGGCUUAUCAGCUUGUUGGUGGGGUAGUGGCUUACCAAGGCUUUGACGGGUAGCCGGCCUGAGAGGGUGACCGGCCACAUUGGGACUGAGACACGGCCCAGACUCCUACGGGAGGCAGCAGUGGGGAAUAUUGCACAAUGGGCGGAAGCCUGAUGCAGCAACGCCGCGUGAGGGAUGACGGCCUUCGGGUUGUAAACCGCUUUCGCCUGGGAAGAAGCGUGAGUGACGGUAAUGGGUAAAGAAGCACCGGCUAACUACGUG